UAUUCCCCUUCGUUAAGAAAAAUUUAUAUAUUCCGGACUUGGGAUAAACUAUUCAUACUUCAAAAUUAUUUCGGGAUUUAAUUAAAUAAUUCGUCUUGAUUAAUUAUCGGCCCAAAGAUUUAUUUAAAAGGCCCAAGACUUAAUUAUUUUCCCACCUUAUAUCUCCAACUUAAAAUUUUAAAGCCCAAAACAAUUAUUAACUCAUCCUUAUCUCUCCAUUUUAUUUAGUAAUGCCUAACUAAAAAGAAUGGCCCAAAUCAAAUAAAUCAUCCUAUUUGCUUUAUAAGGCCCGAUUUUUUUUUUAAACAAACAAAGGCCAAUUCUUAAAAAAAACAACAGAGGCCAUCUUAUACUCCCACCUUCUCCUUCGUCCCUCACUCUCUCUCCCUAUCUCUAUUCACUCUUCUUCCCCCAAAUUGCACAAAAUAGGGAAAACUCCUUCUCUAAUUUAGAGUUUCAGUUUCCUCCCCUCCAUCAUCUUCUCCUUUCCUCUCUCCCCCUUUCUCGGUUCUCCCUCUUCCUCUCUUUCUCCUCUCCCUUUUUCCUCUCUUUCUCUCUUCUCUUUCUCGGCUAUGCUCACGCCGUCGCUACCGCUACCGCCACCGCUACUGUACGCGUGGCGGCUCGACGUCGCAGCCCUCCACCUCACUCUCUCGAUUUCCACCGCCAUCACAUCAUCGCUGCUCCACCGCCUCAGCCCCCCUUCUCUCUCCCGAAUCUGCCGCCUCCUCGCCGGACUCCCGAAAGGAAAAACCCUGUUUAAGCUCGUGGCUUUGGUGUAGGAAAAUAAAUAACAUCCAUAGUCUUCCCUGAUGAUGUACCGGACUUUCUUGGAGUACGAGCAUGACCGUUGAACGGGCUGCGUGAACUUUUCCCCAAUUGUAUGGAUUUGAUAAAUUUGUAUAAUAGUAAUUUAGCAGAGUUCGGAGAAAUGUCGGACAUUAUAAAUUUUUAUUUGGUGUUACUUUUUUUUUACUUGAAA